AUACGGAGGAUGCAAGCGUUAUCCGGACUGAUUGGGUGUAAAGCAUCUGUAGGCGGUUUUUGAAGUCUACGGUUAAAUCCCAGAGCUUAACUUUGGUUCAGCCGUAGAGUACUUCAAAGCUUGAGUAUGGUAGGGGUAGAGGAAACUUCUCGCGGAGCGGUGAAAUGCACAGAGAUGAGAAGGAACACCAGUGGCGAAAGCGCUCUACUGGGCCAUGACUGACGCUGAGAGAUGACAGCUGAGGGAGCGAAUAGGAUUAGAUACCCUAGUAGUCUCAGCCGUAAACGAUGGAUACUAGAUGUUGCCACAAGCAGUGUCGAAGCUAACGCGUUAAGUAUCCCACCUGGGGAGUACGGUCGCAAGAUUGAAACUUAAAUGAAUUGGCGGGG
rnacentral:rRNA from 1 species